GGAUGUGAGGGCGAUCUGGCUGUGACAUCUGUCACCCCAUUGGUUGCCAGGGUUGAUUCGGCUGAUCUGGCUGGCUAGGCAUAUGUCCCCUUCCUCCCUCACUGUUCCAUAUGCGUUCCUCCCGAAGCUGCGAGCUCAGUUGAAGAGGACGACCUUCCCUGAAUAGAGGAGGACCAGUCUUCGGUCAAGGGUAUACGAGUAGCUGCGUUCCCCUGCUAGAACCUCCAAACAAGAAAUAGAGAUAUUAAAGACUUUCUAUAACUCAACAAAAAUAAAGGCACAACAUACCCAAACAUAUGG
rnacentral:snRNA from 1 species